AUAUGCUCAGGAUGAACGCUAGCGGCAGGCUUAACACAUGCAAGUCGAGGGGCAGCGGGGUGUAGCAAUACACUGCCGGCGACCGGCGCACGGGUGCGUAACGCGUAUGCAACCUACCCAUAACAGGGGCAUAACACUGAGAAAUUGGUACUAAUUCCCCAUAACAUUCGAAGAGGCAUCUCUUUGGGUUGAAAACUCCGGUGGUUAUGGAUGGGCAUGCGUUGUAUUAGCUAGUUGG
rnacentral:rRNA from 1 species